CAAGCCGACUGUUCAAAUUUUAAUACUUUAUUAAUUUUUUUUAUUUUAACCCCUAGACUAAUGGCCUGUUUCAACGUUCGAUAGUGAGCGAUAUAAUUUUUUUUGUCAUAUAAAUUUGGAAUUAAUUUUUUGAAUUUAGAUCCAGGUGGUAUAAUAUUCUCCGGACAUAAGGGUAAGUCAGAAUGAUCGUUAUGUAAAUUCUCACCGUAUUCUAUAUCUACAUCUAAAAUGACACCCCAAUUAUUAUCAUCCGCAAUUUUUGUUAUAUCUAAAUCGUUAAUUUCAUAUUGUGUCAUCCAUUUAAAAUUUCCAUAUGGAAGAUGUUCACUCAGUGCAGCACCAUACAGAUUGUUUGCAUCGAGGUAUAAUAAAUAUGUGGAUGGUUUUGAAGAAUCAUAGUCAUCACAAUAUUUAUUAUUAGCUUUACUAUAAUGAGAUGAGCAUUGAGAUACUCCCCCUCGAAUCCCAUUAUUAAUAAAGCUAAUCAUUUCAAUAUCCGUCAUCAAUUCCAAUUUUACCCCGGUAAUUCGCUUCAUAGCUUCGAAACUUAAUCCGGGUGAAGUAAUAAAAUGACAAGGAUCAAGCCCAUAAUUUUUUAAACAAACAUUUCGAAAAUUUUCAAAAAUAUCAGCUAAAAGAGAAACAUCAGUUCUUAAAUAUAAGUCGGAAUAAUCCCCCAAAGUUAAACAGUUAAAUUUAUCCCAAACUUUUUUUGCAUGGACAUAAUCCUCGUCUGUUACUUCACUCGUAUUCAAUAAACUACGGAAGGCGGAUUUUGGUGGUAACGUGCAUUCGUUCAGUACAUUUAUAUCAGUUACAUAUUCGUAUGGGAAUACACCCUUACGACACAUCAACUUAAAUUUUUCAUCAUCAGAAUACAUUUUCCUAGUUAAUUUAAACUGGUCGAGGGUCAAAGUUUCAGCUAAUUUUUCUAACGAUGAUGGCAUAAAAUUUAAAGAAUCAAUAAAUUUUAUAGUAAUCCACUUGUCAUUUAAUGUUUUUACACUUUUUUUUAUAGCCAUAUAUUUUUCGUUUGUUUUAGCUAUAACUUCGAUUCCCUCGUCGUCACCACCAAAAGCGAGUUCCCCAAUAAUGAAAUGUGAAUCAUAGUUUUGCAUAUUAUGCAAAAUUACCGGGACAAAUGA